rfam:Triticum urartu cultivar G1812 contig1071375, whole genome shotgun sequence.
UUUAUAAUCCCUCCGUCCAGAAUUACUUGUCAGAAUUACUUGUCACGGAAAUGGAUGUAUCUAGACGUAUUUUAAUUCUAGAUACAUUCAGUUUAUCCAUUUGUGCGACAAGAAUUCGGGACAGAGGGAGUAGUUA